rnacentral:rRNA from 1 species
AUUGAACGCUGGCGGCAGGCCUAACACAUGCAAGUCGAACGAAGUCUUCGGACUUAGUGGCGGACGGGUGAGUAACACGUGGGAACGUGCCUUUAGGUUCGGAAUAACUCAGGGAAACUUGUGCUAAUACCGAAUGUGCCCUUCGGGGGAAAGAUUUAUCGCCUUUAGAGCGGCCCGCGUCUGAUUAGCUAGUUGGUGAGGUAAAGGCUCGCCAAGGCUACGAUCAGUAGCUGGUCUGAGAGGAUGACCAGCCACAUUGGGACUGAGACACGGCCCAAACUCCUACGGGAGGCAGCAGUGGGGAAUCUUGCGCAAUGGGCGAAAGCCUGACGCAGCCAUGCCGCGUGGAUGAUGAAGGUCUUAGGAUUGUAAAAUCCUUUCACCGGUGAAGAUAAUGACUGUAGCCGGAGAAGAAGCCCCGGCUAACUUCGUGCCAGCCGCCGCCGUAACAC